CAGCACCUCAAGUGGUCAGGAUGAUUAUUGGGCCUAAAGCAUCCGUAGCCGGCGCUGUAAGUUUUCGGUUAAAUCUGUACGCUCAACGUACAGGCUGCCGGGAAUACUGCAGCGCUAGGGAGUGGGAGAGGUAGACGGUACUCGGUAGGAAGGGGUAAAAUCCUUUGAUCUAUUGAUGACCGCCUGUGGCGAAGGCGGUCUACCAGAACACGUCCGACGGUGAGGGAUGAAAGCUGGGGGAGCAAUCCGGAUUAGAUACCCGAGUAGUCC
rnacentral:rRNA from 1 species